rnacentral:tRNA from 1 species
GGGUGAGUGUGCCGAGCGUAGAAGGCAGCGGUCUGUAAAACCGUGACAGUGAAACACCGGUGGUUCAAAUCCAUCCUCACCCACCA